rnacentral:lncRNA from 1 species
AGAAAUGGAAGACUAAAAAACUCCACAAGCCUCGUGAUUAAUACAGAACCCUGUAGACAGAAGACGGAUUGGCUCACACUGGAUAAAUGAGUACAUGGUAGUAGCUCAUGCUGGUUAAUAGCAAUGAAGGGGCUCGGUACUUAUUAAACUAAACUGGUUCUUUGCUAACAUAACUACUUAAAGGUGAUGUAGCUGUACCUAGUAAUAUAGUUUGAUUUCUCAGUGCCUCCUUCAAACUGCAGCUUGGAGCAAUUUCUUCCCUCUAACAGAAACUUUACUGUUGCUUGGCUUAUGUGUGUUUGCUGCCUUGCUGCUUACUGCUACUUGGCCUACCACAGGUGGAUGGUAUUUACCAAACUGUUAAAGUUCAAAGGCUCUGUUUAGGUGGAGGGGCAAAUAUGGUCUGUGUUAAGCCUUGAGAUGAGGUUUACUAAUUUUAGUUCCUUUGGGAAUCAUGUUGACAGGCAGAUGGUGUGUGCUUGACUGUCACCUUGAAAUUGAUCCUGGACGCAACCAAGCUGGGAUACAUCUGCAACUGGGAAAUGGCCACCUGAUAAAGAGGAAUUUUUUGACCGCAACCUUGUAA